CUAGUACGGCGGAGUUGAUCCUGGCUCAGAAUGAACGCUAGUAGUAUGCUUUACACAUGCAAGUCGAGCGGGAAUUUAUUUUCUCGUGGCGAACGGGUGAGUAUUCGCAGAAUUUUUCCUUUCAAUCUAGGACAAAGGUCUACUUGAUUAGAUCAAAAUACUGGAUAUUCAAAAGGUUAACUCCGUUGAAAGAUAAAUCUGCAUAAGAUUAGGUUGUUGGUGAAUUAAAAGCUUACCAAGCCCGCGAUCUUUAGUUGGUCUUAGAGGAUGAUCAACCACACUGGAACUGAAAUAAGGUCCAGGCUGACACGUCGGCCAGCAGUGAGGAAUAUUGGACAAUGAACGAAAGUUUGAUCCAGCAAUACUAACUGGGUGAUGACGGCUUAUUUAAGUUGUAAGAUCCUUUAAUUAAAGAAGAUAAUGACAUUAUUUAAUUGAAUUUUAGUCCUGGCUAAUACUCGUGCCAGCAGCCGCGGUAAUACGGGAAGGGCA
rnacentral:rRNA from 1 species